rfam:Trichobilharzia regenti genome assembly, scaffold: TRE_scaffold0048788
GUACCAAUGAUGAGUCCCAAACUAGGACGAAACAGCUUUCUAGUAC